CACGUAGGGCGCAAGCGUUGUCCGGAAUCAUUGGGCGUAAAGAGCUCGUAGGCGGUCUGUUACGUCUGCUGUGAAAACCCGGGGCUUAACCCUGGGCUUGCAGUGGAUACGGGCAGACUAGAGGCAGGUAGGGGAGAAUGGAAUUCCCGGUGUAGCGGUGAAAUGCGCAGAUAUCGGGAGGAACACCGGUGGCGAAGGCGGUUCUCUGGGCCUGACCUGACGCUGAGGAGCGAAAGCGUGGGGAGCGAACAGG
rnacentral:rRNA from 1 species